rnacentral:rRNA from 1 species
AGAAAUCAACCGAGAUUCCGCUAGUAGUGGCGAGCGAACGCGGAAGAGGCCAAACCGGAGGUAGCAAUAUUUCCGGGGUUAGGACUGCAAUAUGUAACUUUAAUCUUUAACUGAAUGCUUUGGGAAGAGCAGCGAUACAGGGUGAUAGCCCCGUAAGUGAAAAGGAUUGAGUGCUAGCAGUAUCCAGAGUACCAGCGGACACGUGAAACCCGCUGGGAAGAUGGGGGGACCAUCCUCCAAGCCUAAAUACUACUCAGUGACCGAUAGUGGAGCAGUACCGUGAGGGAAAGGUGAAAAGUACCCCGGGAGGGGAGUGAAAAAGAACCUGAAACCUUGUGCCUACAAGCACCGAGAGCACGUUAAAGUGUGAUCGGGUACUUUUUGUAGAACGGUCCGGCGAGUUAAUAUUUGCAGCGAGGUUAAGGAACUGGAGUUCCGGAGCCGCAGCGAGAGCGAGUCUGAAUAGGGCGUAUGAAGUUGCAGGUAUUAGACCCGAAACCGGGUGACCUAUCCAUGAGCAGGCUGAAGCGGUGGUAAGACACCGUGGAGGGCCGCACCCACGUCUGUUGAAAAAGCCGGGGAUGACUUGUGGAUAGCGGAGAAAUUCCAAUCGAACUCGGAGAUAGCUGGUUCUCCCCGAAAUAGCUUUAGGGCUAGCGUUAUUUUAGAUUACCGGAGGUAAAGCACUGAAUGGUCUAGGGGCCGCGAGGUUACCAAAGCCUAUCAAACUCUGAAUGCCGGAUAAUUGAUGAAUAGCAGUCAGACUGUGUGAGAUAAGUCUCAUAGUCAAAAGGGAAACAGCCCAGAUCUACAGCUAAGGUCCCAAAUGAACACUAAGUGGAAAAUGAUGUGAAACUGCGAAGACAACCAGGAUGUUGGCUUAGAAGCAGCCACUCAUUCAAAGAGUGCGUAAUAGCUCACUGGUCGAGUGGUUUUGCGCAGAAAAUGUAACGGGGCUAAGUGUUCAACCGAAGCUUAGGCAUUGCAGUAAUGCAUUGGGUAGGGGAGCGUCGUAUGCGGGGCGAAGUCAGAGCGGAAGCACUGGUGGACUGCAUACGAGUGAGAAUGCCGGAAUAAGUAGCGAGAAUUAUGUGAGAAUCAUAAUGGCCGAAAAUCUAAGGUUUCUUGGGGAAGGUUCGUCCGCCCAAGGUUAGUCGGGAGCUAAGCUCAGGCCGAAAGGCGUAGGCGAUGCACAUACGGUAGAAAUUCCGUAACCACCGAACUUUAAGCUAGAGGGACGCUUUCUUUAAGGUUAUCCCGGGCGAUGGUUGCCCCGGGCGUAAGGGACCGAAAUUUAGUAGGGAAGUAGACGGCGUGAGAGACGAGAAAAGCUCUAGUGUAUACUAAGGUGCCCGUACCGCAAACCGACACAGGUAGAUGGGAUGAGUAUUCUAAGGCCAACGGGAGAAGGGUUGUUAAGGAACUCGGCAAAUUGGCCCCGUAACUUCGGGAUAAGGGGCGCCUGCGAGAGCAGGCCGCAGUGAAAAGGCCCAAGCGACUGUUUAGCAAAAACACAGCUCUCUGCUAAAUCGAAAGAUGACGUAUAGGGGCUGACGCCUGCCCGGUGCUGGAAGGUUAAGGGGAGUGCUUAGCGCAAGCGAAGGUGCGAACUUAAGCCCCAGUAAACGGCGGCCGUAACUAUAACGGUCCUAAGGUAGCGAAAUUCCUUGUCAGGUAAGUUCUGACCCGCACGAAUGGCGUAACGAUUUGGGCACUGUCUCAACAGCCCGCCCGGCGAAAUUGUAGUACCGGUGAAGAUGCCGGUUACCCGCGACAAGACGGAAAGACCCCAUGGAGCUUUACUGUAGCCUAAUAUUGGGUUUCGAUGUUGCAUGCACAGGAUAGAUGGGACACUGGGAAACAAUCGCUUUGGCGGUUGCGGAGUGGCCGUUGGGAUACCAUCCUUGCGAUAUUGGAAUUCUAACCUGCGCCUCUGAAUCGAGUCGGGGGACAUUGUUAGGUGGGCAGUUUGACUGGGGCGGUCGCCUCCAAAAGAGUAACGGAGGCGCUCAAAGGUUCG